rnacentral:lncRNA from 1 species
AACUUUGAUGCUUCUAAUAAUUCUAAUAAUAAAAUUACUUUAUUGGAGUAACAGUGGGUCACUGUCUCUAGAAUUUUCUCUUUUGUUUCAUGCAGUUAACGCACAAAUAAUAGUGUAAUUAUUUUAUUUUAUUUUUCAGAUUUCAUCAUGAUCAUCCUUCAAAAUUACCUGAAUGUUUUUUUCUCUCUGUCUCUGCUGGGCAGCCCGGGUGCUGCUAAAGCGGAAGCGCCUAGGUUCAGCCUAUGGGGGGAAGUGGCUGAUUUCACUGCGGGAUGCAGCCACUGGACACUAAAGCGUCAGAUCACCAUCCCCGCCCUGCAAGAGCUCACAGUCUGCUUCUACCUGAAUCUAGAGGAGACCAUAGGUUCCUCACCAUGGACCGCCUUUAUGUACCGACAUCCAAUGGCACAGUAUGCUGAGCUGGGGCUGGGGUUUAAGGCGGGUCAUUUAGUGGUCUGGUUGUUUGGCGUGGAGUGGAGGACCCAGAAGAUCAACCUCCUUGAGUCACAGUGGUACCCACUAUGCCUGACCUGGUCACAUACAAAAGACAGACCUGCCUUAUACCUUAAAGGGACCCUGCUGAACCUCACGGCAGUUCUCUAUGGAGCUACUUUUACCUCCUCCUCAUGCUCCACACUGGCCCCCGAUGGAUCGCUCACUCUGGGAUCAGGACACUUCAUUGUAAACGACAACAUACAGAUCAUUCCUUUUACCGGUGUGUCGGGAAAACUCUCUCUGUUCCGGAUGUGGGGGAGAGAACGCAGCAGCAAGGAAGUGGCAUCAAUGAACUGUACAGAGGGGGAUGUUGUGAAGUGGGAGAGAGACAACUGGGACACUCAGAUCUGUGCUCCACUCCAAGAUCCCAGCCUGAAUUGCAGUGAGCAUGCAACUUAUAAACCCUGAAUACUUUCACUUCAAACCUUUGCCGUU